rnacentral:rRNA from 1 species
UACGUAGGGGGCUAGCGUUGUCCGGAAUCAUUGGGCGUAAAGAGCGUGUAGGCGGCCCGGUAAGUCCGCUGUGAAAGUCGGGGGCUCAACCCUCGAAUGCCGGUGGAUACUUUCGGGCUAGAGUGCGGAAGAGGCGAGUGGAAUUCCUGGUGUAGCGGUGAAAUGCGCAGAUAUCAGGAGGAACACCAAUUGCGAAGGCAGCUCGCUGGGACGUAACUGACGCUGAGACGCGAAAGCGUGGGGAGCAAACAGG